GUUUUCCCCAUAUAAAUGAAUGGAGAGUCCCCACAAAGAUAUAAUGACAAACCUGUCUAUGUGUGUGUGGGUUUGAGCCCCACCCUGGGUUAUUCCCUGUCUUGCACCCAUAGCUUCUGGAAUAGACUCCGGACACCUUGAAUAGGUCAAGUGGGUACAGAGAAUGGAUGGGGGAAGGUUAGUUUCUGCAGAGAUUUGGUAUAACGGAGGUGUUGUGUAAGUUAGGCCCAUCAUCUCCAGUGUGGAGUCAUGGUGGUCAGCAUAGGGCACUCUGAAGAGAACGGCAGUCUCUCACACACGAUGGCCAAUUUAGGGAUGCCAGUGUCAGACUGUGGGAGGAAUCCAGAUUCCUCAGCGGACUCCCUGGAUGCCAAAAAUGUGGGACCUCGGCUUUCAUAAAUGCCACUUUACACAGUUAGCGACUGCUGCCGCUGCAGCCUUUGAAAGGCACGACGUGAGCAGGCUACCAUUCAUCACCAGUUUACCGCACCGUCGGUGUGCGUGCAUCCUUAAACGCAGAGAACCGCGUUUAAAAGAGAGAGAGGGCUAAGGAAAGCCAACUGGGUGACAGCAGCUGGAAAAGAAAGAGCAUCAGUAAUAGGCAGCACCUCAGAAGGCGAUAAAUAAUGUAGGAGAGCUGCGCUUGAACCCGCCGGAUCCGGCCUCGCUUCUCAGCGGAUGCCCACCUCCUCGAAGCAGGCGCGUCUGCCAGAGCAGAGAUGGUAACAGAAAACUUCUGGCCGCUGCUUACCUCUACUCUUCCUGGCACGCAGUCAGUGAGAAAUGAGCAGGACCGGAGAGAUGGAAAAAACGAGAAAAAGGACGGACAGAAUGCCUGCACACAUUGGGCGUAGCUGUGGGGAAUGGCUGCCUUUCAGAUGCCACUUUACCCGCGUGACGCACACCUGCCAAGUGACACACGUGCGCAAUCGGCAUCCUCACCGGCAUCCAUGCGUAUCUGCAACCCCUAAAACAAGAGCGAGGCCGUGUUCCACAGACGCGCAGAGUUCCCGCAGUCUUUGAAACUGGGAGACGGUGACUAUUUUGGGCGUAUGAUUCAGAACCAAGGUGCCUUGAAUUUGACUGCAGGGCUUUGCAUGCAGCCGCGCCAAACUCAUAAAAAUAACAGUCAGAUUGGUGUAGAAGUGAGUCGCAGCGAAUGGGAUAAUGAGGCUGGUUUGCAUCCGCUUCUGGUGAGCAAUGAUAACAGCGCCUGGCCUGAACAGUCAGUGCUGUGCUUUUAACUCUGACGCCGUUUUGGGGAAUGCCCUUCAGUGCACGUUUGGGGAACCCCAAUCCUCACAGAUGCUCGGGCUCCUCAGCCCACCCCAAGCAUCCCAGGCAUCGUUACACAACCUGGAUAAUAGCUUCACAAGUAGAGCAUUGCCUUAUGAACACCACAGGUUGUUGGUCCAAAUUCCCCGAAGCAUGUAAAUUGUAAGCCUGCCCUCUGCUGUCAGUUGUUUGUAUAAAAGCAUCAGAUACAUGGCUGCAAUACCUUGAGAAUGGCAGUGCUUGGGGACCCAAGCCCAGAUAACGGUAAUCUGUCGUCUCACAUCCUGCUCCCCGAGCGGCCUGCUUCGGCUCAGGCACGAGCGUGGGCCGUGCCCUCAUUUCAGGAAGAGGCGCGAGCGCGGUGCUGCUCCUGUCCUCGUAAAUUACCUCAUUGUCAUAAUUGCUCAGUUGCUUAACAGAUGCUGUUAUCCCAGAGAAGCCUCUGUACUCCUUAUAACUAGGUUACUGAUGCAAUUACAAGUUACAAACUCAUUACACUCAGUCAUAUUUCUCAGAAUAGAGGUGCCAGCUAAUUCUUUUGUGAGUUGUACUAAACACACGAAACUGAUGAGGGCAAAAUGAAUGUCAUCUCAAAUGGACUGUGGCCAAACUGUCUGCUGCCCAAGUGUGACUGAUGGAUAGCCUCUGCUAAGUUAUUAAUUAUAAUAAUCUAGACUUUUUUUCCCUCCUUGUAAAGAGACACUUGGUUUUUGAAAGGUGCUAUAUAAAUGUAAUUAUUAUUAUAUUGUUAUAAUUCUAGGAUUAUACCCUUAGGGGAGGGGUGUAGCCCCCUGGAGGGUUGCCAAUUUCUGAAGAAAUGUAGAAAGAUAAAUUUUCUGUGGGUGGCUGAGACAAAAACUAUGGCGGAUGUCUCCGCUUGGAAGGAGGUGUGGUGCCUCCCUGUACCCUCAGAGAGUGAUGGAUGACUCCGCUUGGAAGGAGGUGUGGUGCCUCCCUGUACCCUCAGAGAGUGAUGGAUGUCUCCGCUUGGAAGGAGGUGUGGUGCCUACCUGUACCCUCAGAGAGUGAUGGAUGACUCCGCUUGGAAGGAGGUGUGGUGCCUACCUGUACCCUCAGAGAGUGAUGGAUGACUCCGCUUGGAAGGAGGUGUGGUGCCUCCCUGUACCCUCAGAGAGUGAUGGAUGACUCCGCUUGGAAGGAGGUGUGGUGCCUCCCUGUACCCUCAGAGAGUGAUGGAUGACUCCGCUUGGAAGGAGGUGUGGUGCCUCCCUGUACCCUCAGAGAGUGAUGGAUGACUCCGCUUGGAAGGAGGUGUGGUGCCUCCCUGUACCCUCAGAGAGUGAUGGAUGUCUCCGCUUGGAAGGAGGUGUGGUGCCUCCCUGUACCCUCAGAGAGUGAUGGAUGACUCCGCUUGGAAGGAGGUGUGGUGCCUCCCUGUACCCUCAGAGAGUGAUGGAUGUCUCCGCUUGGAAGGAGGUGUGGUGCCUCCCUGUACCCUCAGAGAGUGAUGGAUGUC